rnacentral:rRNA from 1 species
UGGGGAAUAUUGCACAAUGGGCGGAAGCCUGAUGCAGCGACGCCGCGUGGGGGAUGAAGGCCUUCGGGUUGUAAACUCCUUUCGACAGGGACGAAGCUUUUGUGACGGUACCUGUAUAAGAAGCACCGGCUAACUACGUGCCAGCAGCCGCGGUAAUACGUAGGGUGCGAGCGUUGUCCGGAAUUACUGGGCGUAAAGAGCUCGUAGGUGGUUUGCCGCGUCGUCUGUGAAAUUCCGGGGCUUAACUCCGGGCGUGCAGGCGAUACGGGCUGACUUGAGUGCUGUAGGGGAGACUGGAAUUCCAUGUGUAGCGGUGAAAUGCGUAGAUAUAUGGAGGAACACCGGUGGCGAAAGCGGCUCUCUGGUCUGUAACUGACGCUGAGGCUCGAAAGCGUGGGGAGCGAACAGGAUUAGAUACCCUGGUAGUCCACGCCGUAAACGAUGAGUGCUAGGUGUUAGACCCUUUCCGGGGUUUAGUGCCGCAGCUAACGCAUUAAGCACUCCGCCUGGGGAGUACGACCGCAAGGUUG